rnacentral:rRNA from 1 species
GUGCCAGCCGCCGCGGUAAUACCAGCAGCCCGAGUGAUGGCCACUCUUAUUGGGCCUAAAGCGUCCGUAGCUGGCCGCGCAAGUCCGUCGGGAAAUCCAUCAGCCCAACUGAUGGGCGUCCGGCGGAAACCACUCGGCUUGGGGCCGGAGGACUCGAGGGGUACGUCUGGGGUAGGAGUGAAAUCCCGUAAUCCUGGACGGACCGCCGAUGGCGAAAGCACCUCGAGAGGACGGACCCGACAGUGAGGGACGAAAGCCAGGGUCUCCAACCGGAUUAGAUACCCUGGUAGUCC